rnacentral:tRNA from 1 species
GGUUGGGUACCAGAGCGGUCAAAUGGACUGGUCUGUAAAACCAGCGGGCUACGCCCUACGAAGGUUCGAAUCCUUCCCCAACCACCA